GGAACCUCAAGCAGAGAUGGUGUGCACAAGGAUCAAGAGCUUCACAGAAAAGCUGCUUUGAGCUUGGGAGACAAAAAGGUGCACUGAGUUUUGAAGAGGCCAGGCCAUCUGUCUGAUAAAAUGUCCCAUUCUUGAUUUGUCUUAUUGUUUCCUCGCAGUACGGCUUUCAGUGGAAAGAAUGAAAAAAUCUAGAGCUUGAACUAGGGUGCCUGGGCUGUCCCAAAGAUGUAAAAUUCUACUGCCCCUAGGGAACGAGGGAGGAAGUCAAAACACAAGGC